ACUGCCAUAUCACGUUGAAACACCGGUUCGAGUACGAUCACUGAAGUUAGGCAACACGGACCCUGGUUAAUACCUAGAUGGGUGACCGCUUGGGAAUACUAAGUGCUGUAAG